rnacentral:rRNA from 1 species
UCAUCUNGUUCGACACGGANCAUCUCNCCNGCCAGUCNACCGUUAGUAUGUAAUGUCAUCCUGAAAGGGNUUACCUGACGUAGCCNAGAGGUANUGCAUGGCCGUCGUCAGCUCGUACCGUAAGGUGUCUUGUUAAUNCAAGCAACGAGCGAGACNGGUNUAUACAAUUGCUAACAACUCUUUUAAGAGAUUUGAGCACAUUGUAGGAACUGCUCUGGAAACAGAGAGGAAGGUGCAGGCAACGAUAGGUCUGUAUGCUCCGAAUCUGCUGGGCUACACGCGCGCAACAAUGGUAAGGACAAUGUGAUGCAACUCUGAAAAGAGAAGCUAAUCCUCGAAACCUCGAAACCUUAUCUUAGUCUAGAUUGAGGAUUGUAACUCAUCCUCAUGACAUUGGAAUCUCUAGUAAUCAGAUGUCAACAUCNUCUGGUGAAUAUGUCCCUGCUCCUUGUACACACCGCCCGUA